UACUAGAAAACAAAAAGAACUCAAAAAUGCUGAAAGCAAAUCUGUACUCUCUGUAUGGAAUGUAUUAGUGUAAAAUUUUAGGGUUUAUGGUACCUGGUACUCAGGCUAGGCCCAUAAUUUUAUUGUGUGUUUUACAUAUUUUUUGUUGUGUAGUUUAUGGAGUAUUCAUUAUGGGAGCUGGUCAGGGAUUAUAAUAAUUUUUAUAAAAUUGAAUCAUGCACACAAAAUAAUUUUUAGAUAUAAUUCCAAAAUUAGGGUAUUAGUUUGCAUAUUUAGUUAGAACAUUGCAUUUUAUUUUAUUCGUUGGAGAACCUUAUAUAAGCCUACUUUUUUUUGUUACUGUUUCUUUCACUUUUUAUUAGCGGCAAGUAAAUCUAUUGAUCCGAUUUGCUGAGGUAAGCACUAGGGAGACGUCAUAAGUCAUGAGGAUGUAAAUCUAUAAAUGUAGCACACAAAUAUGAAAGCACUUCCUGUGUCACAGAUGAUCCAUCAUAAGCCAUAAAUAUUCCUGCCGGAGUUAGUUUCUAACUUCAAAUCAGAGCUAAAAAUAUCACUGGUGAAGAAAUAACAUUGAUUUUUCAUGUGGAGCGGGCAUUUUUGUCUAGGCUGCCAAGCUGACUCUUCCUGAAUUUAAAGAGAACUUUGGCUUUUGUUUUCUAAUUAUCCUGUUUUGUUUGGCUUAGUAUAUGUCUUAUCAUAGAGGUUAUAUUAUAUACAUUACAGCUUCCUUCUUUUACUGUGUUAUGGCAACAGUUUUCUCCCUGGUGUCUUUAUGCCAUGGCAUUUCACAUGGUACUUUAUAGGUUUUAAUGAGAAAAAUUUUAUUUUUUAAUGAACUGAAAAAAGUUGUUUUAACUAGAGAAUUCGCUUAUUAUAACUUUCAGAUUGAUAAAUAAGAAGCAUACAUUUUUCAUGGGUGAGAGAACCCAUCACUUAACAUUGUUUCUUUGUAAAAGAAAAAAAUUUUUUUUUGUGAUGGAGCCUCGCUCUUGUCACCCAGGCUGGCAUGCAAUGACGUGAUCUUGGCUCACUGCAACUUCCACCUCCUGCGUUACCUCAGCCUCCUGUGCAGCUGGAUACAGGAACCUGCCACCAUGCUCAGUUAAUUUCAGUAUUUUUAGUAGAGAUGAGGUUUCAUCAUGUUGGCCAGGCUGGUCUUGCUGACCUCAGGUGAUAUGCCCUCCUCAGCCUCCCAAAGUGUUGAGAUUACAGAUGGAGUUUUCGCUCUUGUGCAGGCUGGAGUGCAAUGGCACAACCUCGGGUCACCGCAACCCCUGCCUCCUGGGUUCAAGUGAUUCUUCUGCCUCAGCCUCCUGAGUAGCUGGGAUUAUAGGCACGUGCCACCACGACUGGUUAAUUUUGUAUUUUUAGUAGAGACGAGGUUUCUCCAUGUUGGUCAGGCUGGUCUCCAGCUCCCGAGCUCAGGUGAUCCACCCACCUUGACCUCCCGAAGUGCUGAGAUUACAGGCGUGAGCCACUGCUCCCAGCCAAAAAGCUGGAGUGCAAUGGCCUGAUCUCAGCUCACUGCAACCUCCGCUUCCUGGGUUCAAGCGAUUCUCCUGCCUCAGUCUCCUGAGUAGCUGGGAUUACAGGCUGGAAUGUAAUGGUGUGAUCUCGGCUCUCUGCAACCUCUGCCUUCUGGGUUCAAGUGAUUCUUCUGCCUUGGCCUCCUGAGUCGUUGGGAUUACAGGUAUGCACCACCACACCUGACUAAUUUUUUAUAUUUUUAGUAGAUACAGGGUUUCUCCAUGUUGGUUAGACUGAUCUCGAACUCCUGACGUCAGGUGAUCCACCCGCCUCAGCCUUGCAAAGUGCUGGAAUUACAGGUGUAAGCCCCCGCACCCGGCCCUAGAUAUUCUAUUGGCCUUGGAGAUUUUGGUAUGUAAAACUUUUACCGAUCAAUAUAUGUAGAUCAACUUUCUUAAUUUUUAUUGUAAUAUGAGCUUGAUUUUUUUGUUGAUAUUUUAUUUUAUACUUAAAAAGGUAUUGAUUAAUGGCUUAGACAACUUCUCUUACAACUUCUAGAGAUAAGGCUUCCUAAAGAUACAAGUUUGUCUUCGGGUAUUUAACAUUGGGAUAUUUUGAAAGCUUUCUAAUUAAAAGAAUUGAAUUCAGGCCAGGCACAGUGGCUCACUCCUGUAAUCCUAGCAUUUUGGGAGGCUGAGGGGGUUGGAUAACUUGACGUCAGGAGUUCAAGACCAGCCUGGCCAAAAUAGUGAAUCCCCAUCUCUACUAAAAAUAUAAAAAUUAGCCAGGCAUGGUGGUUCACACCUGUAGUCCCAGCUACUCAGGGCGCUGAGGAGAAUUGCUUGAAUCCAGGAAGCAGAGGUUGCAGUGAGCCAAGAUCGUGCCACUGCACUCAAGCCUGGGUGACAGAAAAAUCAAUUCAAGCUCAGCUACCUGAAGCCUCCCCCUCCUGUGUUCCAAUGAUUCUCCUGCCUCAGCCUCCCAAGUAGCUGGGAUUACAGGUGCCGGUUGCCAUGCCUGGCUAAUUUUUGUAUUUUUAGUAGAAAUGGGGUUUCACCAUGUUGACCAGGCUUGUCUCAAACUCCUGACCUCAGGUGAUCUGCCCACCUUGGCUUCCAAAGUGCUGGGAUUACAGGCAUGAGCCACCAUGCCUCGUAGGGUCCAGCCCUACUAGGGUCAUGGGGUGCCCCCAUCUCUGUGUUUUGGCGCUGGAUCCAAGGUGGGGAAGGGUCAUGAGUGAGGUCAUCUUAAGGGUAGUGAUAGGGUCAAGACAAUUAUGUGAGCAAUAAGGGGUCCACCCCCAUUAGGUCACCGAGUCAAAGAGGUGGGCAGUACAAGGCCCCCCUCCAAUUAGGUUACCGAGGCAAGGAGGGUGCAGUGUGCAACAUCUCUGAUCUAGGGGUAGGCAACUUCUAAGACUUUCUAUGGAAGGAGUUUCAAGUCAGCAGAGUAGCAAGAGAGCUGACAGGAUUUACAGCCACCUACGUGUGAUUAUACCAGAGGGGUUUUAAGUCCUUGGAUGUUCGCGGGAUUGGGGGCCAGAGGCCAGCUUUCCAUAAGAACUGGACACGAUGCAACUCCCUUACAGGAGUGACUCUUGCUCCAGGCCUGCUGUACAGCGGGUAUCUUUAUAAUACUGAACGCUGCCGCCUGGGCCGGACUGCCGUGUAGCACAUGCCCUUUCAGGCAGGGGCACUACCACCCAGGCCACUGAUUUUUGUCCUGGUAUGGCUGUUUUUCCCUAGUUCAUGCUCUGCACCGUGUCUGCUCUUGACACUCCUCCAACUAUGAACUAAGAUAUGAUUAUAUAAAAGGAAAGAAAUGAGCAGUAUGUUAUUCUUCAGGCACUAGUUGUGCUCGGGGGCUACUUAGCUCUCCUUCCUCGGUGCCCAGAAGGGGGGUUACCCACAAUGCCCUGCUGGGAGUUUUUAUCUUGAUAAAGGACUACAUGUGCUCUCUAAAAUGCAUUUCCUUAUACAUUAUUGGAUGUGUUCUGCAGCUGUAAGCAAAGAUGUAGUGUGCAGCCCUUGAUUAUUUUACUGCUGUCUGCUGAGCCCGUGGCAGUCCACCUCUGCAUGUGGCUCUCUCCCUGCACCAUGACACCACAUCCCACCUCCAGGCCUGGGGACAUAACUAAAGGCAGACCCAGGAGCCGGGCCUAAGCCCCCCCCCCCACUACUGCUGCUGCUUGAGCUGCUGGCCUCAGGAGUGCAGGAAACUUGGGGGACCCCAGGGCACUGAGAACAGCCACUCCGGCAUACUCAACGCCUUCUUCUGGAGCAUCCAUAAUCCCCUCCUGUUUUGAGGAGAUAAUGGCGGAAGGGCUUGACUCUGCUGACCGAGGUUUGUGUUUAGUGAAUGUUUCUACAGACACUGUGGAGUGUGUCACAGCUCUUGUAUGUUCUUGGACUUGGCAUUUCCAACCUGUCCCAGCAUUUCAACCCAGCCUCAGUGGCCAGCAGCCCAGCCCAUGCCCUUCUGUUGGCUGGUGCCCUCUUCUCUGCCAGCUGGCUCUUGUCUCCAGCCCUGGGCUUAACCUUCAAAGCACUGCACUGUGUUCAGGACCUCUUUUGGAUCAUGUGGACCAUUCUGUUCCCCGUGUCCUGCAAACAAAAGGGUGGGGAAUGAGGUGCAGUGGCGUCCACGUUAUGACCUGGCCCAGGGGCUUCUACAGGCAUGUCAGCUCCAGUGUGGAUGAGAAGCUGGAGCACCCGAGAGCCAGGUCAAACUGCUCCACACCUGCCUCCACAUGGGGCUAACAAUCCUCCAGUGCUCCAAAGGCAAGGCCAGCCAGCAGUGUCAUUAUUUACCAGGAC